rnacentral:rRNA from 1 species
CAAUAGCGUAUAUUAAAGUUGUUGCGGUUAAAAGCUCGUAGUUGGAUUUCUACCGAAGACAGCCGGUCCACACUACGUGUGCGCAUCUGGUGUGGCUUUGGUAUCCUCAUGGAGAACAGUUCUGCGCUUCAUUGCGUGGACUGGUAUUCAUGACUUUUACUUUGAGGAAAUUAGAGUGUUCACGGCAGGCGUUUGCCUUGAAUACAUUAGCAUGGAAUAAUAAUAUAGGACUUUGGCCCUAUUUUGUUGGUUUCUAGAGCUGAAGUAAUGAUUAAUAGGGACACUUGGGGGCAUUCGUAUUAUCACGUCAGAGGUGGAAUUCUUGGAUUGUGUUACGACGAACUACUGCGAAAGCAUUUGCCAAGGAUGUUUUCAUUGAUCAAGAACGAAAGUAAGGGGAUCGAAGAUGAUCAGAUACCAU